UCAGCUAUAUUAACAUAACUGCUGCAGCUAUGAAAACAAAAAAAGACAACAAUUGAUAGGAUGAGAAAACACUUUGCAGAGAAGGUGACACUUGCAAACAUGUGUCAUUGGUUGCCACGGGCAUGGGUCAAAGCCAUCAUCCUUUGUGACUGAGCAAACAAUUCUGCACCUGUUCUCUGGGUAGUGGUUCCGUGGCAUUUUGUUUGUGUGGUUUGGGACAGGACGUUAAAUUAUGGAAAAUUUGAGAGUCAUUGCCUGUGUAUUUUCAUCAGAUAGCACAGGGUGUGACAAGUUUAGACUCCAGUCUCCCUCUCUCUGAAAAAAAACAAACUUUCUUGGAAUUUUCUUCUCAAGUUACAGAGAACAACUUCAAGAGCAUUGAGUCAUAUAUUCAGAAAAGACUAAGUGACUCAACUUGGCCAGUGACAGUGGAUCAAUGAUACGUCAAAUAAGUCCUCUAGAAGCCUCUGGCAAAAGGUUUCAGAAGGUUAUCAUUGUGUAUGAAGGAGGGGCCUAGAUUUCCCUCAGAAGAAGCCAAAAAUAGAGGGUUGGGGCCAAGAGGAUCACAGGGAAUGGUAUUCCUGGGCCAACCCUACCUCUGGCCCUCCUUUCAAAUGAACCAAUAAAGUCUCUGUAAAACAAUAA